rnacentral:rRNA from 1 species
UACAGAGGCCCCGAGCGUUACCCGGAAUUACUGGGCGUAAAGAGUGCGUAGGUGGUCGUGUUAGUCGUUUGUUAAAUAUCCCGGCUCAACCGGGGAAAGGCGGGCGAAACGGCACGACUCGAGGGCGUGAGAGGUACAUGGAACUCUGGGUGUAGGGGUGAAAUCCGUUGAUAUCCAGGGGAACACCGAAAGCGAAGGCAAUGUACUGGCGCGUUCCUGACACUCAAGCACGAAAGCGUGGGUAGCGAACGGG